rnacentral:rRNA from 1 species
AAUAGGGACUAGUAUGAACGGCUAAAUGAGGAUUAAACUGUCUCUUGUAGCCAACCCAUGAAACUGAUCUCAUAGUCCAAAAGCUAUGAUAACCACACUAGACGAGAAGACCCUGUGGAGCUUCAAAACCCAAGGCAAACCUAUGUCCCCUCGGUUUUUAGUUGGGGCAACUUCGGAACAAAAACCAACCUCCGACAAACACAAAAUCAAAACCAACAAGUUAAAACUUAACCACUUGACCCAAUAGAGAACCUCUAUUUGAUCAAUGAACUAAGUUACCCCAGGGAUAACAGCGCCAUCCUCUUUCAGAGUCCCUAUCGACAAGAGGGUUUACGACCUCGAUGUUGGAUCAGGACACCCUAAUGGUGCAGCCGCUAUUAAAGGUUCGUUUGUUCAA